rnacentral:rRNA from 1 species
AUGAAAAAAGCACAAGAAAAGCUUGGAGCAUUGCUGGGGCGAAACUCUGGCUUGUCCAAAGAUUUCAACAACUGUGUUGACUUUAGCUUGACGCUGGAAGAAUUUGAGGCAGGGUGGUGUGAGCUGAUGAUGAAGUAUGGGGCUAUGACUGACUCUCACUUUGAGAAUCUAUACAAGUACAGAGAGACAUGGGUAUCUUGCUACUUCAAGCACCAAUUCUUCCCUUUCUUGCAGUCAACUCAACACAUCGAGGGGUUCAAUGCCGUCCUUAAGCGAUAUGUGAACCCACACAAGUCCAUUUUGAACUUUGUGAAGCAAUAUCAGAAAAUCCAAACACACAUACUAGUCCGGGAGGGUUCAAAAGACUACAGGACAGCACAUUUACAGACUGAAAUGUGGUCAUCUUACCCAAUAGAGAAGCAGGCGUACGGAUCGUAUACUAGGGACUUGUACGAGAAGUUUCGUGAUGAGUUUCAAUUGACUACAAGGUACAAUGUGCGGCCGCAUGGUGAAAACUUGUAUGAGGUUUACCCCAAUCAA